rnacentral:rRNA from 1 species
CAGAUGAACGCUGGCGGCAGGCUUAACACAUGCAAGUCGAGCGGGGGAAGGUAGCUUGCUACCGGACCUAGCGGCGGACGGGUGAGUAAUGCUUAGGAAUCUGCCUAUUAGUGGGGGACAACAUCUCGAAAGGGAUGCUAAUACCGCAUACGUCCUACGGGAGAAAGCAGGGGAUCUUCGGACCUUGCGCUAAUAGAUGAGCCUAAGUCGGAUUAGCUAGUUGGUGGGGUAAAGGCCUACCAAGGCGACGAUCUGUAGCGGGUCUGAGAGGAUGAUCCGCCACACUGGGACUGAGACACGGCCCAGACUCCUACGGGAGGCAGCAGUGGGGAAUAUUGGACAAUGGGGGGAACCCUGAUCCAGCCAUGCCGCGUGUGUGAAGAAGGCCUUAUGGUUGUAAAGCACUUUAAGCGAGGAGGAGGCUACUUUAGUUAAUACCUAGAGAUAGUGGACGUUACUCGCAGAAUAAGCACCGGCUAACUCUGUGCCAGCAGCCGCGGUAAUACAGAGGGUGCGAGCGUUAAUCGGAUUUACUGGGCGUAAAGCGUGCGUAGGCGGCUUAUUAAGUCGGAUGUGAAAUCCCCGAGCUUAACUUGGGAAUUGCAUUCGAUACUGGUGAGCUAGAGUAUGGGAGAGGAUGGUAGAAUUCCAGGUGUAGCGGUGAAAUGCGUAGAGAUCUGGAGGAAUACCGAUGGCGAAGGCAGCCAUCUGGCCUAAUACUGACGCUGAGGUACGAAAGCAUGGGGAGCAAACAGGAUUAGAUACCCUGGUAGUCCAUGCCGUAAACGAUGUCUACUAGCCGUUGGGGCCUUUGAGGCUUUAGUGGCGCAGCUAACGCGAUAAGUAGACCGCCUGG